AGCUGAACCAUCUGAAACUUGCUCUCUCUCAAAACUCAUGAUCAAGGAACUGCCUGCCUCCAGAGGGAAUCUCCACCUGCCUCUGGAUGAUACUUCUCCAGUUAACUGAACUUGGCACUAACCAGCUGAAUCAGAAGGAUGAAAUAAUUGGAUAUAUUAAUGAAAGGUGAUAAGGAAAACCAAUGGACAACGUCCAAAGUAAGACACCAGAAAAAGACCAAAUUAAGAAGUGUGCUUGUAAUGGGUCUGUUAGACAAAGAAAUAUGCUGAUGGGAGAAAAGAUGGAUAGUAUGCUGACUGCAGAGAGACCAAUCCAAAAGGAAAGAGUCAUCAAAGAAGUGAAGUUGAGUAAAAGCAUAAAAGCGGGGAGCAAGGCAGUUCAUCAUCAUCAUCAUCAAUUUCCAGCCUUCAACACCUGUCUGGACUGUUCCAGCCCACAACGUACCCUUUGCUUCCAGGAACUGAGUGGCCGUCUUUUCUGUUGAGCAAAGGAACAUCUGGAAUUGAAUGAGAUUAUUGUGCUGAAUGUUCUUCUCUCUCUUAAUAUAGAAACUGCUAAGAUAAUACUUGUUGUACUAAUAAAGUUAGACUUUGAUUUUA